rnacentral:rRNA from 1 species
GACGAACGCUGGCGGCGUGCCUAAUACAUGCAAGUUGAGCGCUGAAGGUUGGUACUUGUACCAACUGGAUGAGCAGCGAACGGGUGAGUAACGCGUGGGGAAUCUGCCUUUGAGCGGGGGACAACAUUUGGAAACGAAUGCUAAUACCGCAUAAAAACUUUAAACACAAGUUUUAAGUUUGAAAGAUGCAAUUGCAUCACUCAAAGAUGAUCCCGCGUUGUAUUAGCUAGUUGGUGAGGUAAAGGCUCACCAAGGCGAUGAUACAUAGCCGACCUGAGAGGGUGAUCGGCCAAAAUGGGACUGAGACACGGCCCAAACUCCUACGGGAGGCAGCAGUAGGGAAACUUCGGCAAUGGACGAAAGUCUGACCGAGCAACGCCGCGUGAGUGAAGAAGGUUUUCGGAUCGUAAAACUCUGUUGGUAGAGAAGAACGAUGGUGAGAGUGGAAAGCUCAUCAAGUGACGGUAACUACCCAGAAAGGGACGGCUAACUACGUG